GACGAACGCUGGCGGCGUGCCUAAUACAUGCAAGUAGAACGCUGAAGGAGGAGCUUGCUUCUCUGGAUGAGUUGCGAACGGGUGAGUAACGCGUAGGUAACCUGCCUGGUAGCGGGGGAUAACUAUUGGAAACGAUAGCUAAUACCGCAUAAGAGUAGAUGUUGCAUGACAUUUGCUUAAAAGGUGCAAUUGCAUCACUACCAGAUGGACCUGCGUUGUAUUAGCUAGUUGGUGGGGUAACGGCUUACCAAGGCGACGAUACAUAGCCGACCUGAGAGGGUGAUCGGCCACACUGGGACUGAGACACGGCCCAGACUCCUACGGGAGGCAGCAGUAGGGAAUCUUCGGCAAUGGACGGAAGUCUGACCGAGCAACGCCGCGUGAGUGAAGAAGGUUUUCGGAUCGUAAAGCUCUGUUGUAAGAGAAGAAAGAGUGUGAGAGUGGAAAGUUCACACUGUGACGGUAUCUUACCAGAAAGGGACGGCUAACUACGUG
rnacentral:rRNA from 1 species